rnacentral:rRNA from 1 species
UACGAAGGGGGCUAGCGUUGCUCGGAAUCACUGGGCGUAAAGGGUGCGUAGGCGGGCCUUUAAGUCAGGGGUGAAAUCCUGGAGCUCAACUCCAGAACUGCCUUUGAUACUGAAGAUCUUGAGUUCGGGAGAGGUGAGUGGAACUGCGAGUGUAGAGGUGAAAUUCGUAGAUAUUCGCAAGAACACCAGUGGCGAAGGCGGCUCACUGGCCCGUAACUGACGCUGAGGUGCGAAAGCGUGGGGAGCAAACAGG